rnacentral:rRNA from 1 species
UACAGAGGGGGCAAGCGUUGUUCGGAAUUACUGGGCGUAAAGGGCGCGUAGGCGGCCUGCUAAGUCGAACGUGAAAUCCCCGGGCUCAACCCGGGAACUGCGUCCGAUACUGGCAGGCUUGAAUUCGGGAGAGGGAUGCGGAAUUCCAGGUGUAGCGGUGAAAUGCGUAGAUAUGCGGAGGAACACCGAUGGCGAAGGCAAUCCCCUGGACCUGUACUGACGCUCAUGCACGAAAGCGUGGGGAGCAAACAGG